UCACAACUAAAGGUCGUCAUCUGGGCAAAUGAACCACCCUGACUUGGAGAUUAGGGGCUCAGACAGCCAUGGAUGAGAGUCCAGCUCUACUACUUAUUAGCCUUGAUUAGACUGUGAGAGGGAUGGGAAAGACUGGUGCUUGGGGUGGCCAUCUGACCCCUGAUGGACAGGAGACCAGGACAAGCCCACUGGAUGAGCCGGAGGGGUCCAGGAGGAGGGAGUUGAGAGCUCCUGCUAGGGUUGACACAUUCUGGUAAGGAGUUCAUCUGCUGUCCACCAGGGGAGACAAUAAAGAGGUCAACGCAGCUCCCACCUCGAAGCAGCUGCCAGUUUAUUACAUGAAGUGUCAGGUUGUGGACUGCAGGCAUGCCAUUUUGUCUUCCAGAACAGAAUCUCUGGGCACAGGAAUGAUUCCAGGGUUCCUCCAGCACUUUGGUAUUACUUGAAAGCAAUCCAAGGGAUCUAGAAUGAACCAACGCCCAAAAAGGAUCCCUUAGCAGCGGUGAUAUCAAAGAAACACUUUUGAAGAACUAAUUUUCCACCCCGAUUUCCCCAAUUUUAAAAGCAAUGGGCAAAGCCUUCUCCACUCCUAAACUUCCUGGAACUGUCUUUUGGCUUUAUCAGGCCCCCGAAGUUAGAGUCUUUGAAAGACUCCAAACUCCAAAUUCUAUGCUUUUAUUCCCAGGCUCCUGAUAAUUCUACAGCACACCAGACUGCUGACCACUCUCCGUACCACUUUUAAAUUAUUUCUUCCCACAGCUUUCUUAACAAUGAAUUAACCUUUGAAAUCUUUCUAAUUUUCCAUUUAUUUUGCUACCUUUCCUCUGUCCUAGCUCUAAAAUGAAGAUCCUCUAAGGUUCUAAAG
rnacentral:antisense_RNA from 1 species